CUUGGUCAUUUAGAGGAAGUAAAAGUCGUAACAAGGUUUCCGUAGGUGAACCUGCGGAAGGAUCAUUAUUGAAAUUAUAGGCGAGGGUUGUAGCUGGCCUCUCGGGGCAUGUGCACGCCCGAGCCCUUAAUCCCACACACACCUGUGAACCUAUUGUAAGGGCCCGUAAAAAAGGCCUUUACGUCUUUAUCACCUACCCGAAGUCUCAUAGAAUGUAAACAUAUGUCCUCGCCUUAAAAAAGCGUUGAUAAAAUUUAUACAACUUUCAACAACGGAUCUCUUGGCUCUCGCAUCGAUGAAGAACGCAGCGAAAUGCGAUAAGUAAUGUGAAUUGCAGAUUUUCAGUGAAUCAUCGAAUCUUUGAACGCACCUUGCGCUCCUUGGUAUUCCGAGGAGCAUGCCUGUUUGAGUGUCAUUAAAUUCUCAAACUCUGAUUGAUUUGUUUCAAUCGAGCUUUGGAUUUGGAGCGUGCCGGCGUCAGUCGGCUCCUCUUGAAUGCAUCAGCGGAAUCCCAUUCAUUUCGGACGUCAGUGUGAUAAUCAUGUUGUGCUGUCUUUACGAUCUUGAAAGCCCGCUCACAAUGGUCUUCGGACAAACCUCACUAUCAUAUUUGACCUCAAAUCAGGUAGGACUACCCGCUGAACUUAAGCAUAUCAAUAAGCGGAGGA
rnacentral:rRNA from 1 species